UGCCUAUCUUCAAGAAAGGGAGGAAAGUGGAUCCGGCAAACUACAGGCCCAUCAGCCUGACCUCUAUCCCCGGGAAGGUCUUAGAAAAAAUCAUCAAGGAGGCCAUUCUUAUUGGACUGGCAGAUGGUAACACCCUGAGGGAUAGGCAGCAUGGGUCUGUUGUGGGUUACGUCCAGCGCACCAGGCCUGUCACAGUUUCUGCAGGAAAGCAAUCUGCCUCACUGGAGAUAAGGUGAAGCGGCACCUUGAGUGACCGGCAUCAAAGUGAGAAACUUCGUAACCCACAGGCCCAACCUUUCUAACUAUUUCAAACGGACCCUGCCAACAGGUAAGAAACUUAUUCGUAGUGCUAGGGAGUAAAACUAGUACCUUUUGCCCUACUUGUAACUCUCUCCUUUGAGCCCCUUUGUCAUAUGGACGUUUCCGGUCUUCCCGAGCCUGCUGCAAAUGCUCACAUGACACCUCACUCACUGCCUGUAAACCAUGUCUAAGAUCUCGCACGUACUCAGUAGUGUCCGUGCCUUCUGAUGUCCCCUCCUCCCAACUUUCCUGUACCAGGAAAGUUUCCUGAACACCAUUUUGAAUGGGGCAAAACCCAGCGAGGACUGGGGAGCUUCCCUAAUUGAAAAUACCAAUGGUGGCACCAAUAGCUCCCACUUGCAGGGUUCCUCUUCUACACAACGACGCAACAUAUUUUUGAGGUACCAUUAAAUCACUCUACCACCCCAUUCAUUUGGAGGUGAUAUACUGUUGUACGCAGGUGUCAGAUUUUAACCACUCGACACAGACUCUGUAAGACACUACAUGUAAAAUUUGAAGCCGGAUCAGUAAUUAUUUCUUUGAGAAUUUCUACCCACGUUAUCCAUUUAAGAAGUUCCUCUGCUACACGAGGACCUGUGACCAACCACAUGGGAACUGUUGGGGAA